rnacentral:rRNA from 1 species
GGCCUAAUACAUGCAAGUCGAACGCUUUGUGGUUCAACUGAUUUGAAGAGCUUGCUCAGAUAUGACGAUGGACAUUGCAAAGAGUGGCGAACGGGUGAGUAACACGUGGGAAACCUACCUCUUAGCAGGGGAUAACAUUUGGAAACAGAUGCUAAUACCGUAUAACAAUGACAACCGCAUGGUUGUUAUUUAAAAGAUGGUUCUGCUAUCACUAAGAGAUGGUCCCGCGGUGCAUUAGCUAGUUGGUAAGGUAAUGGCUUACCAAGGCGAUGAUGCAUAGCCGAGUUGAGAGACUGAUCGGCCACAAUGGGACUGAGACACGGCCCAUACUCCUACGGGAGGCAGCAGUAGGGAAUCUUCCACAAUGGGCGAAAGCCUGAUGGAGCAACGCCGCGUGUGUGAUGAAGGGUUUCGGCUCGUAAAACACUGUUGUAAGAGAAGAAUGACAUUGAGAGUAACUGUUCAAUGUGUGACGGUAUCUUACCAGAAAGGAACGGCUAAAUACGUGCCAGCAGCCGCGGUAAUACGUAUGUUCCAAGCGUUAUCCGGAUUUAUUGGGCGUAAAGCGAGCGCAGACGGUUAUUUAAGUCUGAAGUGAAAGCCCUCAGCUCAACUGAGGAAUUGCUUUGGAAACUGGAUGACUUGAGUGCAGUAGAGGAAAGUGGAACUCCAUGUGUAGCGGUGAAAUGCGUAGAUAUAUGGAAGAACACCAGUGGCGAAGGCGGCUUUCUGGACUGUAACUGACGUUGAGGCUCGAAAGUGUGGGUAGCAAACAGGAUUAGAUACCCUGGUAGUCCACACCGUAAACGAUGAGUGCUAGGUGUUUGAGGGUUUCCGCCCUUAAGUGCCGCAGCUAACGCAUUAAGCACUCCGCCUGGGGAGUACGACCGCAAGGUUGAAACUCAAAGGAAUUGACGGGGACCCGCACAAGCGGUGGAGCAUGUGGUUUAAUUCGAAGCAACGCGAAGAACCUUACCAGGUCUUGACAUCCCUUGACAACUCCAGAGAUGGAGCGUUCCCUUCGGGGACAAGGUGACAGGUGGUGCAUGGUUGUCGUCAGCUCGUGUCGUGAGAUGUUGGGUUAAGUCCCGCAACGAGCGCAACCCUUAUUACUAGUUGCCAGCAUUCAGUUGGGCACUCUAGUGAGACUGCCGGUGACAAACCGGAGGAAGGUGGGGAUGACGUCAAAUCAUCAUGCCCCUUAUGACCUGGGCUACACACGUGCUACAAUGGCGUAUACAACGAGUUGCCAACCCGCGAGGGUGAGCUAAUCUCUUAAAGUACGUCUCAGUUCGGAUUGUAGGCUGCAACUCGCCUACAUGAAGUCGGAAUCGCUAGUAAUCGCGGAUCAGCACGCCGCGGUGAAUACGUUCCCGGGUCUUGUACACACCGCCCGUCACACCAUGAGAGUUUGUAACACCCAAAGCCGGUGGGGUAACCUUCGGGAGCCAGCCG